AUAGAUGGCUGUACAUCAGUGUUGGGUUUAGAGCUUUUAUUGACAACAGCAGGAGAAGUUAGAAGUCAGGAAUGUGAACUCUACAUGUGUUCAGUCGUCAUGUCCUCAUAUUGUUUUAAGCUGUGAAGGACAGGAGUGUGUUUAAGUAGAAGUCCUCAUAUGACACCAGGUGCCGAGGUCCUGUCUCAACCUCCUUCAGACCAAUUGACACCAGGUGCCGAGGUCCUACCUCAACCUCCUUCAGACCAAUUGGCUCAAGGACCAAGUAUUCUGGGGGUUCCAAGCCACACGCUUUACUCAGCUGCCCUGGACAACAUGAAGGGCACCUCUGGCUCAAUCACCCUGAACAACAAAAACAUUAGCAACACUUCACCAAGAAGGGCUGGGACGGUGAGAAGCAAGUGGACAAAUGAUGAAGUGAAGGUUGCUGAGCGGCACGUUUCACUUCAUAAAAAGCUGCAAAGUACCAGGUAAAAAGGAAUGUGACUGCUGCCUCCAAGCAGAGCCGGCAGCUCUGAAAGACAGAGACUGGGUUGUCAUAAGGUACUACAGCCACAACAGGAUCAUAGCAUUAAAAGAAAGAUGCAAGAAAAAAAGAAACAAGCAAGAGAGAUACUUUGUUACUUCCACAGUUAUGUCAGUAUUGCAGUUUUCUGUAUUGCAUUGUUCUUACUCAUAAAUCUGUGGUUUAUGCUGGGUGCUUUUUGCAAUUAAAUGAUAAAAAAGGCAGAUAAUGUUCCACGUUUUUAUUCACAUGAACAUUCACU
ensembl:lncRNA